GAAAUGCGAUACUUGGUGUGAAUUGCAGAAUCCCGUGAACCAUCGAGUCUUUGAACGCAAGUUGCGCCCGAAGCCAUUAGGCCGAGGGCACGCCUCCCACCUAGGCUGCGCAAAACGAGCCCAAUUUCAAUUCCAGGCUACAGUAAAGCUUCAUAGGGUCUUUCUGUCC
rnacentral:misc_RNA from 1 species